CCCUCUGUUCCCGCGGCUCUCCUCCUCCCCCUUCACGCUCCCCCCCUUCACUUUUCUUUUAUAUAUAUAUAUAUAUAUAUUUAAUUCCUCCUGGCAUACGUUUUCUUAAAAUAAAUAAAUAAAUAAAGGAAUGGGCUAGCACCAACACUGUGGUCUCCCUGUUCUGCGGGACCCCAGCCCAGCCACAGUUGGGGCCUGCCACCCCGAAGCACUCCAGUUUUGGUGAAACACGGGAGUCACCCACUGGGCCGGCUGCCAGACACACAAAGGGGGCACGGUGGGUCUAAGGCAGACCAGCCUGGGCUGCUUGCCCUGUGUCCUAAUGGGCAAGUGGGAAAGAGGAAGAUCCAAGAAAGCAUUACUUGUAGCCUUCCUCUUGUUGACUGCCCUUCAUGUUUCCUUCACAGUGGUUUGUUACCAGCCAAAGCUUCCAUCUCGUUUUAUAUAACAAGGGCAAGAAGACUGCAGGAAGGUGGUCGGCUGCCCUAUGGUUCUUAACAGCCAAGUGGCAUGGCAAGUCUUGCUGGCACAGGAUCUGUACCAAGUCUACAACCCAUUUACCUUGAUGAUGAUUUAUGAAAGACUUCCAUGUUUCGUAACAGAGAGUCUGUAACACAAAGUUACUUCUGUAUCAGCGAGGAAGUCCAUUAAGGUUUCUUUGGCAAACGAAGCCCUACCCGCCCAGCUACACAGUGGCUCAAACGAGCGUGCAAGCCGCCUGGCCUCUCUGUAACCCGCACCCAGCCCCUUCCCUUUUUCCCAGAGCCGAAAUAGAACCAGGGCUGCCCAAGCCCUGCAGUCGGCUCCCAUUUUUAACUCGGGAAAACAGGUACCGAGACCCCCUCUAGCGGCAGAGGCACCGGUAGCAGCGAUUCCGCAGCCGCGGUGAGCGGGACCGCCGCGUCCCGCACCCUCCGCGGGAUUCCUGCCAGUAGCUCCGGGGACGCGGCUGAGGCCAACUUGCUUUUCCAGGUUUUAUUUUGUAAUGACGGCUUGCUCUAUACGCGAAGGAACAGGCUUUAAACCAAGAUUUAGCACUAAGUUUUAUUAAUCUGUAAAUUGCCCUGUGACAUACUUAAAACAGGACAGGCGUGUCACUGCUUUUUGGGCUUUGGCCAAAUCUUUUGUGUCACGCAUUUUAAAGAUUGAAUGCUGAGAGCAAAAUGAGUAAGGUAGAAAGUUAUUUUAUCUGCUGGAUUAGGUCAUAAAACCAGGGUGAUAGCUGGGAUGUAGGAAAAUACUGUAGUAAUAUGGUAAACAUCAAGAUUGUAAUAGUAAAUUUUUCAUUUGCAGAGUAUAUCGUAUUGAAGUCAUAUUUGCUUGUCUCCUACAUGUUUGUUUUUUUCUCUUUCUCCUGCUAUAUCUUUCUUUCUAGUAUUUGUCUCCCCGUAGUCUGUUAUAUGUCUUCAUUUUCCCUCCAUAAUCUAGCACUGUCUUGCCCUCUUGUCUGUUCAGCAACUGUUGGAAAACUGUGUUGUAUGAGGAGUGAAAUAAAGUGGUGUUAAAAACACUAGAAGAAUCUGCAGGGAAAGAGAGAAAACCCCUCAACUCUGCUGAGACUUUGCAGACAGAAAAGUAUUUUCAUAGUUAAUUUUAAAUUAUCUUUCCAGCUAUAGAUCUGGAUAAAGCAAGAGAGGAAUUUCUUCAGUGUAUGGCUACUCCAUGUAUUCCAAUAAUUGCAAACAAAGUAUAUUCUGUCCGAAGUCAGUGCGGCUGGACAUAUCUGGUUAUGAAUGUGUGUGCCUUUAAAGGACAGGCAACUGUUGAUAAUCUUUGUAAUAAUAAUAGGUAUGAGGUCAGGUAGUCUCAAUUUCUACAACAUUGAAAGGUAAAUUAAUAAAAUGAAAUGUACUGUAGAUUAAAAGUAACUUUUUCACAUUUCAAGACAGGAUGGCUUUUUUCUUGUUAGUAGCAAAGAACAUAAAAGCCAUGAAAUUAGAGGGGAAAUUACUAGAUCAAAGGGGAAGCAAAUUUAAAAGAAACAAAAGUAGCCUUGUUAUGUGUAGAAGGUGCAAAGUGAAGACAAUGCAAUCAAAUCUCACUUCCAUUUUAUAGAAACUGUGAACAGAUUCUGUCUUAGUCUAAUUUGUGCAGAGCCCAGAUUUACUCAUUACUAAUAGAAGAAAUACUCAGAUAACUAGAAUACACUUUAAAUUGUAAACUAAAUACUGUCUCUGAUGUAGACUAUUCCUGAGCUUUCCACAUGUAUGUGCUUCAUAUAAGCCUGAUAAAAAUCUUGCACUUUACACUCCCUAUGGAUCUAAAUGUAGUUCUUGCUUGCAUGAUAUCUGCACUUUUAUGAGAAGUCCCAGGUUUCAAAAGUUUUGAGGAACUCAGAAAAAUCACAUUUCCCUGUAUAUAUGACCUUAGAAACUCCCCAUGGUUGGACACUACCAUUGACAUUAACAGUGACCUGCAAAGGAAAAAUAUCAAACUGUAUGUUUCAUGAGAAAUAUCUGAAAGCUUUCCUUUUUUCAUUCCCGGGGAAGAUUCCUGGAAAGUUUCGUUGCCUCUAGAUUGGUUAAAUGCAAUUUUUACUGAUGGAUUUUCAGUUGUGUGGUUCUGUGUGUUGUUUUUUUUGUCUGUUUGGUUGUUGUUGUUUUGAUUUUUUUUUUUAAUGAAGACAUUGGGGAGUUUGUCAAAGAACAAGGGUUUAACAAACCAUUUCUCAGUGUAUAACUAAAUGACAAAUAAGUGACUGCCUGCCUCAAGCUAACACCCAGCUAGCAACACAAUACUUGAAAUUACAUUAAACUUGCCACAGAAGAGACUGUUUUAUUGCAAAAGCUAAUAGAUAUGGGAAGCCCAAAGUAAUGGCUGUAAGAUUAAAGGAGCCCAAAAGCAUUGCUGCUCAUUUCCAAAUAUAUCUAUGAAAAGAUCUGAAAAGUUUCUCCAGAUUUCCAGUGUAUCUGGUUAUUUCUGUGCCUGACUUUAAUUACCCACUCUUACACUUCCACGUGGUAGGAUUCCUAUUUAAGCUAGAGCUUACACACAUUUGGUUCUCAAAUAACCAAAAAUGAGUAAAUACCAUCUAAUUAUGGCAAAUAAUAAGUCUUACAGCUCAAGGCCUAUUGAACCCAGCAGAAGACUAAGUGACUUUACAUUUGGCAGGGACCCUUUCACAGUGUAGUCCUGAACAUGUUGAUGUGCAGGUCCAUGCACAAUUAAAUUGUCACAUUAAGUCUAGUGGAACAACAUAUUUUGGUAAAAUUACAGGUGUGAGCAGGAUGAAGACCUGCAUUUGGAGAGCCAUUGGUGCAAACCAUUGUGAUUUUGACAGCUGUGGACAUGUCUAUGCUGCUUUUCUGCUAUGGAGUGGCCUUGGUUCCCCAGACAACUGGGCUGUGCUGGUUUGUGUCCUUAUUUCAAAACAAAGGCUCUGCGGAGCAGACAGGCCAGCUGCCUUCUGCACAGACAUCAGUGUCAUAGCUAACUUGUAAUGACUUUGUGAAGGUAAGGCAAAUCGUAGCUGAUAAAUAGGUUUUUAUAUUCCCAUGCAAUAAAAGCUAGUCCAAAGUCACCCUCCCCCUGGACAGCAGGAGGAAAACCUAGAAAUAACAAAUAAAGGCAAGUGAACAGAACUGUGCUGGUUUCCUUCAAGAAGGCGGGUUUUCCCUUUUUGACCAAAUUGCUUAUUGCAUGUCAAAAUAUGGACACAUAUUUAAUAUACUGGUUUCCUUUCAUUCAACUUAAGACAUAGUAGGCACUUCCACUGUGGAGGCAAAGACCUCUGCUUGUAAUUUCUUUCAUUUUCCUGAUUUGGCAGAAUGCUUUCUGCUGCAGAAAAAAAGAGAUCUGAAACACAAAUAUAGAUUAGAAAAAGGAAAAACAUAGGUCACUAGACGGGGCCUGUAGCAACAUAAAUCCUGGCAUCAGCCUGGCUUACUCAGCCUGAAAGACAUUAACCUAAGGCAGACAAUCAUUUAUAUCUCUGUCUUCCCUUAAGAUUUUCUUAAUAUAAUAUCUAAGAGUAACUCCAGGUAAGAGCGAAGAGAAAGAGCCAGGCUGUUGAGCUAAAUUAUCUGCAUGAGUAGGCAAAGGAAUGCUACAAUAUUAUCAGAGAGGUACUAGGAAUGAUAGAAGCCAGUUGUUACUUUAAAAGACUGGAGAUGACAAUGUUCCCAAUCUUUCUAUCACCAUGACUUUCAUUUAAGAAAUCAUUACUUUCAAUUAUCACACAGGAUCACAGAUUAUUUUUCAUUAUUUUCUCCUUCACUUGUUUAUAGAGUUUCUAACCUUCUCUGUUGUUUCCACUCUAUUACAGAGAUUAAAAAAAGCACAGCUACUAAUGUCUUAAUCAUGUUGACAUGAAACCUAUAUCUUUUCAUAAAUCUUCGUUUCUAUUUUUACCCAGGAGCGGCUUCCUAAUUCCAUAUUUCAGAACCUUUGAGAGAACAGUUAAUGCUGUAUAUACAAAACUCCCAUUGCUGCAGUUGAUGGGAGCUGCAGCUUGUCUCAAAUACAAUUUAUCUCAAACUUCUAUAGGUUAUCUCAAAGAGACUGUUGAACUGAUAGUUAUCAGUUCCACCUGUUGAAGUCUCCCUUAUACAGGAGCCAUUUCCUAAGAGACCUCCAGAAAGAAUCUCGCCCAAAAUUAGUGUGCCAUGAGUGCCCUUAGCCAUAAGGCCUCCCCUUCCAACAAUGAAGCCAAGCUUCAUGUUCAGCUCUAGCAGCCAAGCCUCUGUGGGUGGCUGCGGUGCCAUCCGUAAGGCCCUUCUGGAUUUGCAGUCAUGGUAUCUCAGAUUAUGUUUGUGGAAUCUGGCAUAAACUGCUAUAUCUGACUGCAGAGUUAAUAACACCAGAGUGACAACGACCUACUUUGCACCAUAAACCUGGUGAGGAGGACAGGAGUUUGAAACCUAGUUAAUGAAUUUAUUUCAAGAUGAAAAUUUGUGUUUAUUAUUGGUGGGUUUAGAUAGCUUGGCAAAAAUGUUGGGUUUUAAUUAAUUAUGCAAAUUAGAGGAAAGUAAAGACAUUUGGCCCACUGCUUUGAUUAUGUAAUAGCUAUAGAAAUAUAAAUGUUCUGCACAAGACAGCAAGACAUAUGACACAAAGAUUUAGUGUUGUCAAAUAACUAAAAUGCUAAUCCUUCCUUUGAUGUUUAUAUCGCUUAGCUGGAAAGGGAGGAAAUGCAUUAUUCAUUCUUUGAUGUUAUGAAAGGGAAAGGCCUUUAUAAGCAAUAUAUAAGCCAUAUUUAUGUACUCUUCACAGUACUUGGAAAUUUUACUCAAUAUAAGCACAAGCAAUAAUAAAAAAUAUAAACCAAAACAUCAAUAAAUAGCAGAUGCACACUGUAUUUGGAUAUUAAUAAAUUAUGUGAGCCAUUAUGGCUGCAACAGCAGGUGGUGGUGUAGUUCAAGACUCUCUGUGACUUCUCACUUUUUUUCCUCAUACUCCAAAGGGGAAGGUUUGAGUCCUCUAAGACCUGGUGCAAUUUUUAGCUCUGCACCUUUCAUUGAUGAACAAACUAGAGGUAUCUACUGAAUUUUAUUCACUCUGCAAAAAACAUGCAGCAAACAGGCUGUUUGUCACUGGUGAGUGCUAAACCUGCUGCUAUGACUAAUUUAUGAAUGUUCAUCCUAUUUGUCCUUUCAUCUUUCUUCCUGUCUCAUACAUCCUAUUUUAAUUAAAUCUCAGAUUGAGAGUUCACUGAGGCAGAGAAUUUCCUUGUUAUGUUGUUUUCAAAGUUUUUUUUUAUACAGUGGAGCUCUAAUCUGUAAUUGGAAGGUGAUAAAGAUUUUGAAGUCACUAGAGUCAGCUAUAUAACUGCCAUCUACCUGAUUAAAAUAAAUAAUUGUACAGAAAAAUUUAUAGUGAAAUUGAACUUUAGUGGUUUUUUUUCCUUUGUUAAUAAUAAGCAACAACUUUCAGAUCCCUUGCCUUAGAGUACAGAAUUUGAAAGUCCAAACUAUUUGUAGUAUAGUUCUCCUUCACAUCAUUAUCAAACUCUCCCUUUGGUACAUGAUAGCAUUUUGCUAUUUUUUUUUCCAGAGAAGGAACCCAAGUCUGCUAAGUAUUUAAGCAGAUAUCUAUUCUUUUUUACCAAAUGAUAAACACUCAUAAUUUUGGACCAUGAAGCCUUUUGUUGGUCCAGGCAAUAAGUAAUAAACAAGUACAAAAUAUAUAGGACAAGAGAAUUUUUGUCCAUGUUUUUGUAGCACCUUUCUCUGAACAGAAUGGGUCACAUUUAAGUGUGAAGGUCAUGUUUGUAUCUAAGCUACUCUCAACCUCUCUUCUAUAAUUAUUUGAAACAAUAACAUUACCAUAUAAUUUAAUGCAGGUGAAGAGGUGGAGAAAGAAGAAUAGAAACAGUUUUGAAGAACUUAACAACAAUCAGUCUUUUUUCGCUAGUAUUCUGAUUCUCACGUUACUGCAUACUAAAAACCUGAACAUAAGAUAUUGGCCUAUUGUUACUAAACUGAGAUUUUCUUAUAUAAAUGUUCCAAGCAGAGCAUCCUUAAAACAAAACUCAAUGACGUACAGUGCACCACUUUUAUUAAACUUUGGCUUUUUAUCUAGACUGACAUUUCAAUGAAUUCUUUUCCUCAUAGUUGAACAUUUCCUCUUUCUUGAACCUGCAGUAAAGUCAUCAUGUUGAAUUCACAGCUUCCCAAUUACCAUGACAAUGCAGAGAUAUCAAAGCCUCAGCUUUACUCUUUCAUUAAGGUGGAAGAAAGAGCAGAGCUCAGAGCAGAGCUACUUUAACUCUUCUGUCAUUUUUUUUUCCUUGUAUUUGAAUUGUAUGCAAAUGUAUGAAGAUUUAAUUAAUUAAUUUAUUUGCAAUUUCAGCAUCCUCAGUACAUUUCUUCGUACUGACAAAUUUUAGCUAAUAGGUUUGUUUGACAACUGUUCAAUACAAAAGUGUAUUUGGAUACUCAAAAUUAAUGAAUUGUGUUGGAGCUGAAUGAUCUGUUAUCUAAGUUAUGUGUUAUAAGCCUUUUGAAGCAAAAUCGGCAGUUGUCCAAAAUAAAUUUGUUUCAGCUACAGAACUGAAAAUCGCAUUCAUCAGACUCUUGCAAAAACAAAGCUUUGCUCAUGUAUUUGUCAAAAGUAAAUUAGUCAAAACAUCUAUUUAGAAGUUAUUUACUUCAGAUGUUAAUGAAUUAUUUAUCUCAAUAUUUCUCCUAUUUAACUGUGAUCCCAAAUUCUCUUAAUCAGCUACAAAUAUUUUAAAUGAUAGAGGGGCAGCUGCUAGAGGAGAAUUCUCAUCUUAAUGUGUGUUUUAUUUAUAAGCAUUUUCUGCCCAUUUAUAAAAUUCUGUCUAAACAUAAUUUUGUGUACUUUGUAAUUUACUAAUAUAGACUAGGGUAGCCUCAGGCUUGGCUGUUUUAUUCUUAAAUAUGUGCAGAUAUGGAUGCUCUGUAUUACAUAUGCAAACAGAAAGCCUACAGGCUAUAAUGGUUUUGCAGUUGGGUUCUGUUUUCUUAAUUUAUAAAAUCAGAGGUCAUAUGUAGAGAUUUUGGAUGUUUCAUUGGACCAACAUACCAUUCACCUAUGUAAUACGAUUUCCUAAAGACCUACUGAUAUUAGGCAUCCUAGGUUCCAAAUGAAGGCAUUUCUCUUCUCCACAGUUUUACUGAAGAGAUAAAAUCAAUAUACAGCUCCACAUUUGUCCCUUAAUGCUUGGACUGGAACCUUGCCUCUGCUGAAGGCAGUAAUAGUUAUUCUCACUGACUUCAAAGAGGCUAGUGUUUCACCCUUCAUUUCCCUACUGGAUACUGCUUUUCCCUUUAAGCUACCAUGUAUCAUAAAAAGAUAUAUGCUUUGGGAACUAUAACACACCACAGUAAAAAUUGUAAUGCCACAAGGCAAUGUCGAUAUAUAUUUUUAUGUAGUAGAGGAGGGAGGAAAUAAACCAGGAGAGACAAAUGUUCCUAUUCACAAAGCUCAAGAGUUUUUGUUGUAUUUAUGAAUGAAAACACAUCCUUUCAAGCAAUGAAACCCCCAUAUACCUGCUUAGUACCAUUCCACCAAGGGCAGCUGUCAGGUAAGCACAGCUUUAGCAGCAAAUCUGUUCUUAUUAUUUCUCAUGCACAAAGAAGGUUAGAAAUAUGAUUUUGAGCACUAAUGAGUUUGUGAAAAAUGGGCCAGUAUCAAAGAUGUUCUGUAUAUCUUAGGUACUGAAGCAUGAUCCUGGGAACUUCAGUUCAACUUUAUUAUAAGAUAUGGCAUCAUGGAUUACCUUGCUUAUUUAGUUCAGUUUUUAUAUGUAUCUUCUGCCUGAAAUGUAGUUUAAAGCAUCCAGUCCAAAAUAUAUAAAGGAUGAUACUAUGGAGUUCUACCAAAAAGUUAAAAAUAAAAGUGCCUGUAUCCUGCAACCAAUUCUUGUCUAAAUGCUCAAGAAAAGAAGAUAACCUUUGUCUCACAUGCAGAACUGGAUAAAGUUAUCUUGUAAGCAGACAGUGAGGAGCAGAGAUCCAGAGAAACACCGAGCAAUAGGGACAGGAACUCUUAUGAUUUGGGCUGUUGGCCUCUUUUAAUUUCCUAAGUCAGGUCCGUUCUAAAUAUGUGAGGGCCCUGACCCUGAAGGGAAGGCCAGGCCUUGGCCCAUCACUGUUAAAGCCAAACCUGCAUCAAAUUCACUAUCAUCAAAACCUCCCCCUGUGAAAUUCACAGUAAUACUUGGGUGAAAUCUCUAUGUCUAAACCUGUUAUUUGUCGUUUUGGGGGGCAUAUUUGGCAUGCAAGCAUAAAAGCACAACUGAGGGAACGUUUUAAUGGAAAGGUAGUAACAAAUAUGUCUACCAUAACCCGUUUGCUAUAAGUAUGUAUAUAUACAUGGUCUAUAUAAUAAAUAUAACCUUGCUAAGUAAGUAUCUGAGAUUGGCAAUGGAAAAAGCUGACAAAGUGAGCCAAAGCAAAGUGAAGUCUUCAGUUUAAAAUCAGUGCCAGAGGUAAACAACAAUACCAGGAAGGGAAUGAAUGUCUCCUGAUAGUCAAGCCAGGAGCGCAAGAGCCUAUCUGCAAUACCUGUCAUAGCCUUUUUAAUUUUUUUUUUUUACAAAAAAACGAUGCUUGAUUAAGCCAAUUCUUUGGCUUACUCCAUUUGGUGCUUAAUUAACUGGAUAUUGAAUACUCAUUUUGCAUGUUACAUAAAAUCAGUUUAAGUGGGCAGGAAAACACUCAGAGUACAAAUGAGCUUUCAUCAGUGACUGAAGAUCCUAUUGUCUAUGACUCAAAAGAAAAGUAAACAGCAGUGCCCAUGCCCAACCUGCCUUUCAUUCCACAAAAAGAAAACAAAACAUCAGAAGUACUGCUCUUAUUAUAAUGCUGACAUUUUGAAACAUGCAAAAACAUUGAGUCAAAUGCAAAUUCUAGUGAAUUUUAUCAGAGGCGAGUGCCUCAAAUGAUAUGAUUCUAAAAUUGCACAUUAAACUAAAGAUCAAAUUAGAUGAAAUGUAUGUAAAAGAGUAAUAAAUAAGUAUCUGUGUGUAAAUAGCAUUAAUACAUCAUGAGUUUAGCUGGGCAGAUUGGGGGAUGUAAAUCUGUUGAGGAUGAUUUGGUUCAAGAUUGCAAGGGAAAAGAAUGUUGGCUGUCAUUCAGUUAAACUCCUGCUGUGAACACCAAUAAAAAGAUGACCUUUUCAGGCUCUGCAGAAGUCCCAUUUAGCAAUGAUGGUUUUGCCCAAGAGCAUUAGGAGCACUGUGCUCUCAAAAAGUUAAGAAAACAAAGGGAAAGAGCUCCGCCACAGAAACAAACAGCAGAGUGUAUGUCUUCAGGAGAAAAUGCCUCAGAAGAGUGGAGAAUUAGGUCAAGUGACCUGCUAAUAACCAAGAACUUAUAUCAAAGUUUGUCCAGAAAAGAAAACGGAAAUGACUGUUGCAAAUGUUAAGUAUGAAGCCACAGCACAUCCCUCUGUGGGAGUGCCACUUGGCAGCUGAGGAAACUUGCCAAUGAAUAAUUCUUCACACUCACCAAAGUUAGUAGAAUUCAGGCAAAACGUGGCACAGGGCAAAUAAGGUUGUUUGCUAGCCUUUUUUUGUCCUGUUAGCUACCUCUGUCAGCUUAUUAAACACUCAGAUUCAAAACAUACAUGAGUUAAGCAAAAUUUAUCUUCUUUUAUGCCUAGCUGGAAAGAUGAGCUGAAUUUCAGACAGCCUCAUGCCAUGGAUCAGCCUGGUUAGAAAGAGGCAAUGACUGAGAAGGACGUGCUUGUGUGAGUCUGUGAGAUGUCACCCACCUACACAUCUAUGAGCAUAAUAUGGAAUGCUGAACAUCAACAUUCAACUCAGUCAUAAAUGCAGUUCCCUGAAGGCUGAUGACAUCAAACAGAUUGGACCAUCUUCUUAGAAACUGCAUCCCCUGUGGAUCACUCAGUGGCAGAAAAUGAUUAAGCAUUAUAACUUCAUAGGACAGAACUAGAGAUGCAGCUGCAUCUGCAAAUGGAAGAGGAAUAGUGUGUCAAUAACAUCUGCCAACUUGUCCCAGAAGUGGUGCGAGAUGGGUGAACGUCUACAACUUGAGAGACUGGGAGGUUCUGCAAUAUUAGAAACCUCUUGUUGUAGAGACGCACUCGGAAAAUUUGACAGAACUCUGUUGGGUAAAACCUGUGUGAGCUCAACUUCAAGCUACAGCUAAGAAAAGUCAAGAAACCAGGACUUGUACCUACGCCAUAGAUAGAAUCAAGAAACAGGAGUCAGUGAAGUUACCUGACCCAGGAAUCAAGCCGGUAUAAUCGGAGAAAAACUGAUAAUCUAACUAUCAGAGAAGGAAUUGUAUAACAAGAAAUAAAUGUACCAAAAUCCAGAAUCAGGGGUUUUUUGCUAUUAUUUAUUCUAGUGUUUAGUAACAUGAACAGUAGUUUUUCACUGCAAUUCAUAAACUAUUUAGACUUCAUUCUUUUUUUCUCAAGACUGUUGUUAACUGUCCGAAGCUACAGGAAUUUGGAUUUUAUUCUAAACUCAAUAUGCCUCUGUGAGUAGCUGUUGCUUCACACUAAUAAAUUGAUAAACUCUUAUCCAGCCAAAA